rnacentral:rRNA from 1 species
UACGUAGGGGACCGAGCGUUGUCCGGAAUCAUUGGGCGUAAAAGGAGCGUGUAUGGCGGCCACUUAAGUCCUGCGUGGAAAUCUUGCGGCUGCAACCGCAAGCGGUCGUGGGAAACUGGGUGGCUAGAGUGCGGGAGGAGGAGAGGUGGCAAUUCCUGGUGUAGCGGGUAGGAAUGCGGCAGAUAGUCAAGGAAGAACGACCCGUGGCGGAAGGCGGCUCUCUGGAACGCAACUGGACG